GCCUUCGUAGCUCAGUCGGCUAGAGCAUCGGACUUUUAAUCCGAGUGUCGCGGGUUCGAUUCCCGUCGGAGGCA
rnacentral:tRNA from 1 species